rnacentral:lncRNA from 1 species
GUCCAGGAAAAAGGCAAUUACAUCCCCAAGAAAUGUGGCCAGUCAGGGAGCGUGAGAGCUUGUGCUGCUCUUGGGGGCCACAGAGACCCACCUGGCUGGUUCUGGAUGAGACAAAGGCUGCAGACUGACACACCUAUGCAACUCUCCUCCUGCCCAGAAAAGCGCAAACACUUCACUGAACUAACUCACCUGAUUGAAUUUCACUUCCUGGUGCAGGCGCAUUGUACCAACCCUCUCUACUUCAGCCUACCAGGAGGGAGGAAGGCCACCGUCUUUCCUUCUCCUUCCAUGUCAUCCUCAGCGUCGGUGCUUGUGCAGUACAGAGGGCCCAGGGCUUCAUUUAGCACAAGUUCAGACAUGAAACCGUUAAGAAUUCCAGCGUAGCCGCAGCCCAGCACUGAACCCAAUGCCUGCUCCUCUGACUGUCUACCUUGGCUGGUUCCUGUGUCACUGGAAGGAGGAAGGAACCCCUCCCCCGUCACCACGGUUGUUCUGUUUUGGGGCCUGGCACCAUCACCCAACAACUAUUUGCUGAAUAAACGCAUUGUUCACCCACUGAGUAUUUGCUGAGCACCUACUGGCAGGGCGCCCUGAGGGCGCAGAGAUACAGCUGAGGACAGCGCAGCUUCUAACCUUGCCAUCCCCAAGGUGCGCGGAGC